rnacentral:rRNA from 1 species
AUUCAGUCUGGGCCAAGGAACGUGCGGNUCGAAAGACCAGNUAGGGCUUCCCCCGAUUGGGCCCGUUCGGCUUGCACGAAGUUCCGUUGCGCCCGACGCAUUUGUCUCCCGUCCGAAGGACGCCGCAGCCGGUUGGGUAGCUGCAAGCACGACGGCUGAGGGCGGACGAUGCAGGUGGCCGGUGGCGUACUUCGGUGNGUCGCCGGUUGUUANGCCGGUCCGUCAGUGGCUCGUCACCCGACCGAGGUGUCACGAGGCCCUUCGGGGCUUCAUCGUCUCCUCCUUACGGAAGUCGGGACAGAGUGUCGCAGGUGAAUCUNGCCGUCCCGUUCGCACUCCGCAGGAGUGGUCGGGCGAGCGAGAGGCUCCGUNGGCGGCGCCGGGCCCGUUGGAGGCAGGAGGCUAGCGGCGAGUAGGUCGGUCACCCACCCGACCCGGUCUUGAAACACGGACCAAGGAGUCUAACAUGUGCGCGAGUCAAUGGGUCUUGAAUAGGCCCAGGGGCGCAAUGAAAGCAAAGGUCGGCAGACGCCGACCGAGUUGGGAUCCCCGUUUNGGCGGGGCGCACCAACGACCCGUCCUAUCCGACUNGUCGGUUGGGCGGAGUGUGAGCGUACACGUUGGGACCCGAAAGAUGGUGAACUAUGCCCGGACAGGACGAAGCCAGAGGAAACUCUGGUGGAGGUCCGCAGCGGUUCUGACGUGCAAAU